GGAGGAGGAGAUGGAGAUGGAGGUGGGGAUGGAGAUGAGGAUGGAUGCAGGUGGGGAUGGGGAUGGAUGGAGGUGGGGAUGGUGAUGGAAUGGAAUAAUGCCAGUGCCUCACACAGUGUGCAACUGAUGGCAUGGUUGUGUGUUGCAGAGUCCUGCCUUAGGGCUUGGUGUGGAGUGCUGCUUGCUACAGGGACUCAGCCAUGGCAGGUAAAAGCAGCAAACCCAAGCGUGGCAAAGGAAAAAGCUCCAAAAAGAAAACGAAGAAGGUGGUGAAGGAUGUGGAUAUCCUCAGCCCAGCUGCCAUGCUCAACGCCCAUUACAUCUGCCAUAAUGUCCCCGCCUGCCUGGAGUUGCGGGGCUUUCCUUGGCCUGGCUCCCCCAAAAAGAAGGGGAAGAGACGAAAGUAGCUGGCUGGAAAGCAAAGGACGCGAUGAAAGCCGAGCUCCCCCUGAUAAGAAGAGGCUUUUUUGAACUUGAGACUCAUACAAUAUCUCCAGUGGUUAGCUCAAAUAUUUUGCCGUAAUCACUGUAGUGUCCACACAAAGACACUCUUCUUAUAGCUCAAGCUUACAGUGACGAAUGGCAAGUUGCACUAGUGCUGUCGUAAUUUCAGCUGUGGCACUUAGAACUUAGUUCUGUGCGGAAUAAAACAUUAAGUCUCAGCAGUCUGAGGGAGCUGUGGUGGGGUUUAUUUUACCCAUACCACUGCUGUUCUUACGCAGAUGGAAUGUGCUCCCCGGUGUGGGUGUGCCUCCAGUUCUUUCAACCAGUGCUGGGGAAAACUUGAGCUCAGAUAGCAGAUACCACACUGAGAUCAUCAGUGUCAAAUACUUCUACAGCAGCUCUGAGAGUCACCUGGUGCUCCCUUUCUGGGUCAGAAGAGCUGUGCAAUGCAGUCUGUGUAUCUGGGUGAUUCACCUCAUUCUACAUUUGGACAGAUAAGUGGUACUUGAAGCCCCAGUGAACAUACUGCCAGUUCUCUUUUGGCUGUAGUCAGAUCCUGGAGAUCUAGCUGAGAUGCUGGCAGUGAUGCUGUAUUAAGUUAGAGGCGACGAUGAGCCCCCCAACCAAGUCUCCUCUUACAGUAAUCACUGUUAGUCCGAACAUCCUGGCUGGAAACCACAAGAUUUAUGUUACAGAUCAGAGUCGCUUCGCUCCAUUUCCUCCGUGUCAGUUUAAGGCAGCCCUUGGUGAAGCAGUAUGUCAAGUGAGUCUGUGCAUCUCUCCCAGAUUCUUCCAGCACACCGACUGGAAGGAUGCAGCAGGACAAGAGAGGAUGUGUCCUGAACUGACACAGGCUGUGAGAGGUGGGAAGGAAUACAAAAUAGCCAGAAUCUCAGAGAAAAAGUUAGCAAAAGGUAAUCUGAAGUAGGCUAGAGUUGUCUAGAGAUGUCCAUUUCUGAUUGACUUAACUGCAUGUGGAGGUGCUGCACCUUUCUGACUUCCAGGUAGCUUUGUGUUAUAGGCAGCAGAGCUGCCAAUUACAACAGGACUGACACAAACUGAUGAACACCUGUACAGAUUUAUGCUAUUUUUCCAGCUUAACAUCUUCCCUCUAUGAAGAGAUAUUAGCUUGAUAAAAUCAUGGUUUUGU
rnacentral:lncRNA from 1 species